UACGUAGGGUGCGAGCGUUGUCCGGAAUCAUUGGGCGUAAAGAGCGUGUAGGCGGCUCGAUAAGUCUGCUGUGAAAGUCCAGGGCUCAACCCUGGAAGGCCGGUGGAAACUGUCGGGCUAGAGUCCGGAGGAGGCGAGUGGAAUUCCCGGUGUAGCGGUGAAAUGCGCAGAUAUCGGGAGGAACACCAAUGGCGAAGGCAGCUCGCUGGGACGGUACUGACGCUGAGACGCGAAAGCGUGGGGAGCAAACAGG
rnacentral:rRNA from 1 species